AAAAAAAAAAAAAAAAGAAGAAAAGAAAAAAAAUAUUGCAAAAUCCUUCAAUCAAAGGGCUUAAAAUGAAAAAAGCCCAGAAAUUUGAAGGAUUUAGUUGAGAGAAUGGGGGGAUUUAGAAUGUACCAGCAGGUGAAAAAGGUUGUAAUAAAGGCAUGUCUAGAGAGAGAGAGAGAGACAGCAAGAGAGAGAGAAGGGGAUUGGAGACCGUGGAGCUGUGAUUGCUUAUAGUUUUUUUGUGCCCUUUUGGGGUUCUAAAGAAAGAAAGGAUUGGAAUUUAACAACAAAGCUUGCGUUUUGGAAAUCAAUGAUAAGAGGGUGCUC
rnacentral:misc_RNA from 1 species